rnacentral:rRNA from 1 species
GAUGAACGCUGGCGGCGUGCCUAAUACAUGCAAGUCGAGCGAACAGAUGAGGAGCUUGCUCCUCUGACGUUAGCGGCGGACGGGUGAGUAACACGUGGAUAACCUACCUAUAAGACUGGGAUAACUUCGGGAAACCGGAGCUAAUACCGGAUAAUAUAUUGAACCGCAUGGUUCAAUAGUGAAAGACGGUUUUGCUGUCACUUAUAGAUGGAUCCGCGCCGCAUUAGCUAGUUGGUAAGGUAACGGCUUACCAAGGCAACGAUGCGUAGCCGACCUGAGAGGGUGAUCGGCCACACUGGAACUGAGACACGGUCCAGACUCCUACGGGAGGCAGCAGUAGGGAAUGUGCCGCAAUGGGCGAAAGCCUGACGGAGCAACGCCGCGUGAGUGAUGAAGGUCUUCGGAUCGUAAAACUCUGUUAUUAGGGAAGAACAAAUGUGUAAGUAACUAUGCACGUCUUGACGGUACCUAAUCAGAAAGCCACGGCUAACUACGUG